UGCAGUGAACUAGUGGUUAGAGCGUCUGCCUCAGAUGCGGGAGGUCGCUGGUUCGAACCCCGGCCAAAUCAUAACAA